UACGGAGGGGAGCUAGCUGUGUUCGGAAUCACUGGGCGUAAAGGGUGCGUAGGCGGGUCUUUAAGUCAGGGGUGAAAUCCUGGAGCUCAACUCCAGAACUGCCUUUGAUACUGAGGAUCUUGAGUUCGGGAGAGGUGAGUGGAACUGCGAGUGUAGAGGUGAAAUUCGUAGAUAUUCGCAAGAACACCAGUGGCGAAGGCGGCUCACUGGUCCGAUACUGACGCUGAGGCACGAAAGCGUGGGGAGCAAACAGG
rnacentral:rRNA from 1 species